rnacentral:rRNA from 1 species
GAGUAACACGUGAGCAACCUGCCCCGAACUUUGGGAUAAGCGCUGGAAACGGCGUCUAAUACCGGAUACGCACCAUGACGGCAUCGUCAAUGGUGGGAAAGAUUUUUCGGUUCGGGAGGGGCUCGCGGCCUAUCAGCUUGUUGGUGAGGUAAUGGCUCACCAAGGCGUCGACGGGUAGCCGGCCUGAGAGGGUGACCGGCCACACUGGGACUGAGACACGGCCCAGACUCCUACGGGAGGCAGCAGUGGGGAAUAUUGCACAAUGGGCGCAAGCCUGAUGCAGCAACGCCGCGUGAGGGAUGACGGCCUUCGGGUUGUAAACCUCUUUUAGUAGGGAAGAAGCCUUCGGGUGACGGUACCUGCAGAAAAAGCGCCGGCUAACUACGUGCCAGCAGCCGCGGUAAUACGUAGGGCGCAAGCGUUAUCCGGAAUUAUUGGGCGUAAAGAGCUCGUAGGCGGUUUGUCGCGUCUGCUGUGAAACUGAAGCUCACUUCCAGCGUGCAUUGGUACCGGCCAGGUAAAUGCGUAGGGGAAAUUGAAU